rnacentral:rRNA from 1 species
GAACUCGCGAGAGUAAGCUAAUCUCUUAAAGCCGUUCUCAGUUCGGACUGUAGGCUGCAACUCGCCUACACGAAGUCGGAAUCGCUAGUAAUCGCGGAUCAGCAUGCCGCGGUGAAUACGUUCCCGGGCCUUGUACACACCGCCCGUCACACCAUGGAAGUCUGCAAUGCCCGAAGCCGGUGGCCUAACCACUUAUGUGGAAGGAGCCGUCUAAGGCAGGGCAGAUGACUGGGGUGAAGUCGUAACAAGGUAAC